GUUGUCUAUUAUUCCAAUGUGGGGAAAAUUAUGCUUAUAUAUUAAUGAUCUUGAUAGGAGCACUUGUUUGCAGAAGGCAGAUAACUUAACUGGAAUUUUGUCUAUAUUAUAAUUUCACAUCAAAAUAAAACUAAGACCACCAAUAUUUGAUAAAACAUAAUGAUCUCCGCUUUGAAGUGCAUACUGCACAUGACCGUACUCUGGCAUAUCACUUGAAAGGAAGGACAUUCAUUCCGUCUAAUUAAUUUCACCCAUGAUUUCCUCUGUCCUUUGUUUUUUCGUGGAAAUUGAGGUAAGGAUGUUGUUGUUUUUUAAGCUGGAGCAGUCGGGAACGCUGCAAUAACAGCGACGAGACGACUCUGCCAUUCUAUCUUACUCUGUUCCAUUGGAACCGGAUGUUGUGGUCCGCCGUUUCGCUUACCGGAACCAGGAAGUGUGAAAAAAGGCCUAUAGAGAUUUAUUAUGAUGAAUGACAUGAAAUUAAGGUAGUACACAUGAUUGAUAGUUUGGUGCCCCCUAGUGGUUAAGAAAAUGUAGGCGUUUUUCUUUAAGAUGUCCUUGCGCAGCUACCGUAGUUCAGCAGACGAUGGCUGAUGCUGCUACUGGUAAGCGUGCUCUGAACACAGGAGCGAAAAUAUAGUGAUUAAAGUGUGUAACAUGAUUAUUUUUGGAUAUAUAUAAGAGUGAUUGAGCUGUCAACAAAUGUAUAAUGCUUCUAAUAGAUUUUAACUGUGAAUAUGCAUUAAGAAAUGCCAGCUUUGUGUUUCUCAUAGUAAAAACCGCAUGUUGCUAUCAAAGUAUUAUAUUAUGGAAUGACGCAAGACCACACUUAAAGUGACACUGUUGUUUAUCUUACAUCUUUUGUUUAUUUCAGUUUUGUCUGCAGUAUAUUGUCCUGUUACAUGUGAUGUGAUGUUAUGUGAUGGUUUGUUUCUCAGGUAACAACACUAUGGAGACUUGCCGCAAAUGAGCAGAUUGUGGCAAUUAACAAGUCUGCUCAUUACAGAUGUGAAAUCAUUGUGCGACAUGCAGAGUUAUUGACUCUGCGGCCCCAUGACAGAUUGUGUGGAGAAGUUAUGGAAAGUUACAUUCGGGCUGUCCUUAACAAAUAUGAUCAGGACAAAUUUAUCAGCUCAACCACUACAUCACCGGGGUCAUUUUAUAUGGACAAAAAGAGCAGGUGGCUCGACAAGGCUUGAAGAAUCUGGAGCAGUCGGGAACGCUGCAAUAACAGCGACGAGACGACUCUGCCAUUCUAUCUUACUCUGUUCCAUUGGAACCGGAUGUUGUGGUCCGCCGUUUCGCUUACCGGAACCAGGAAGUGUGAAAAAAGGCCUAUAGAGAUUUAUUAUGAUGAAUGACAUGAAAUUAAGGUAGUACACAUGAUUGAUAGUUUGGUGCCCCCUAGUGGUUAAGAAAAUGUAGGCGUUUUUCUUUAAGAUGUCCUUGCGCAGCUACCGUAGUUCAGCAGACGAUGGCUGAUGCUGCUACUGGUAAGCGUGCUCUGAACACAGGAGCGAAAAUAUAGUGAUUAAAGUGUGUAACAUGAUUAUUUUUGGAUAUAUAUAAGAGUGAUUGAGCUGUCAACAAAUGUAUAAUGCUUCUAAUAGAUUUUAACUGUGAAUAUGCAUUAAGAAAUGCCAGCUUUGUGUUUCUCAUAGUAAAAACCGCAUGUUGCUAUCAAAGUAUUAUAUUAUGGAAUGACGCAAGACCACACUUAAAGUGACACUGUUGUUUAUCUUACAUCUUUUGUUUAUUUCAGUUUUGUCUGCAGUAUAUUGUCCUGUUACAUGUGAUGUGAUGUUAUGUGAUGGUUUGUUUCUCAGGUAACAACACUAUGGAGACUUGCCGCAAAUGAGCAGAUUGUGGCAAUUAACAAGUCUGCUCAUUACAGAUGUGAAAUCAUUGUGCGACAUGCAGAGUUAUUGACUCUGCGGCCCCAUGACAGAUUGUGUGGAGAAGUUAUGGAAAGUUACAUUCGGGCUGUCCUUAACAAAUAUGAUCAGGACAAAUUUAUCAGCUCAACCACUACAUCACCGGGG